AAUAUUGGACAAUGGGCGAAAGCCUGAUCCAGCCAUGCCGCGUGUGUGAUGAAGGGUUUCGGCUCGUAAAACACUGUUGUAAGAGAAGAAUGACAUUGAGAGUAACUGUUCAAUGGGUGACGGUAUUUUACCAGAAAGGAACUGCUAAAUACGUGCCAGCCGCCGCGGUAAUACGUAUGUUCAAAGCGUUAUCCGGAUUUAUUGGGCGUAAAGAGAGCGAAGACGGUUAUUUAAGUGUGAAGUGAAAGCCCUCAGCUAAACUGAGGAAUUGCUUUGGAAACUGGAUGACUUGAGUGCAGUAGAGGAAAGUGGAACUCCAUGUGUAGCGGUGAAAUGCGUAGAUAUAUGGAAGAACACCAGUGGCGAAGGCGGCCUUCUGGACUGUAACUGACGUUGAGGCUCGAAAGUGUGGGUAGCAAACA
rnacentral:rRNA from 1 species